GAGGUGCUGAGCGUCUGUGUCCACGCUGUCUCCUCUCCGGGAUCAGGAGGUGCUGUGCGUCUGUGUCCACGCUGUCUCUUCUCCGGGAUCAGGAGGUGCUGAGCGUCUGUGUCCACGCUGUCUCCUCCCUGGGAUCAGGGGCUUUGCCAGCUUGCUCACCUUUGGCCCCUGGGCACAUGAUGGACUCUUACCAAAUGUUAGUUGAGUAAAUGUGAGUGGGUGGCACAGGAGGAGUCAGGCUAGGUGGCCAUCUGUGUGGGAGAUUCGAGAAAACUCUUCCUGCAAACAGCCUCCCAGAAACUAGCACCAGAAUGCCUGGGCCUCACCAUUGGUGACUCCUUUUUCCCUCACUCCUCACAUAUAGAAUGCAAAUACUAUGAGGAAGACAAAGACAUGAAAUCAUUAACACUUCUUCAGAGUCACACACACGUCCAGCUGCCCCUCCCCAAAUCACCCAGGCCGAGGCCGCCCCACCCCAGUACCCGUCAGAACCCCCUGGAGGGUGAGUUCAGACCCCCGGGGGGCCGCCUCCUGGGCUUCUGAUUCAGGAGGCUGGGGCGGGCCCUGAGGCUCCACAUUGCUGACAAGUUGCAGGUGGUCCGCUGCCAGUCCGCUUGGAGAAUUCUGCUCCCGCUCACGCCGGACUGAACUGGCUGCUGCCCAGCCUACCACGGUCUCCGUCCGUCUUCUCUGGCAGGGGCUGGCUCUCCCAGGUGUCGCUGAGUGCCUGGUUGUUCCAAUUCAGUUUGCUUACAGUGUCUGUGAGUAAUGUCCAAGGCUCCCCUCCUGCUCCUCCACACCCACAUGGCGUGAGCAGCUUCCCCAGC
rnacentral:lncRNA from 1 species